CAUGUGUAGCGGUGAAAUGCGUAGAUAUAUGGAGGAACACCGGUGGCGAAAGCGGCUCUCUGGUCUGUCACUGACGCUGAGACUNGAAAGCGUGGGUAGCGAACAGGAUUAGAUACCCUGGUAGUNCACGCCGUAAACGCUGAGUGCUAGGUGUUAGGUCCNUUCCGGGACUUAGUGCCGACGCUAACGCAUUAAGCACUCCGCCUGGGGAGUACGACCGCAAGGUUGAAACUCAAAGGAAUUGACGGGGGCCCGCACAAGCGGUGGAGCAUGUGGUUUAAUUCGAAGCAACGCGAAGAACCUUACCAGGUCUUGACAUCCCGAUGCCCGCUCUAGUGAUAGAGUUUUUCUUCGGAACAUCGGAGACAGGUGGUGCAUGGUUGUCGUCAGCUCGUGUCGUGAGAUGUUGGGUUAAGUCCCGCAACGAGCGCAACCCUUAUUGUUAGUUGCCGUCAUUAAGUUGGGCACUCUAGCGAGACUGCCGGUAAUAAACCGGAGGAAGGUGGGGAUGACGUCAAAUCAUCAUGCCCCUUAUGACCUGGGCUACACACGUGCUACAAUGGUUGGUACAACGAGUCGCAAGCCGGUGACGGCAAGCUAAUCUCUGAAAGCCAAUCUCAGUUCGGAUUGUAGGCUGCAACUCGCCUACAUGAAGUCGGAAUCGCUAGUAAUCGCGGAUCAGCACGCCGCGGUGAAUACGUUCCCGGGCCUUGUGCACACCGCCCGUCACACCACGAGAGUUUGUAACACCCAAAGUCGGUGAGGUAACCAUUUAUGGGGCCAGCCGCCUAAGGUGGGANGGA
rnacentral:rRNA from 1 species